rnacentral:rRNA from 1 species
GGGAAAGGUGAAAAGAACCGCGGGAGCGGAGUGAAAGAGAACCUGAAACCGUAUGUCUACAAGCAGUCGGAGCGCAAGCGACGGCGUGCCUAUUGAAGAAUGAGCCAACGAGUUACGGGCGCCAGCGAGGUUAAGCAGGAAAUGCGGAGCCGGAGCGAAAGCGAGUCUAAACAGGGCGGAUAGUUGGUGUUCGUAGACCCGAAACUGUAGUGAUCUACCCAUGAUCAGGUUGAAGCGCAGGUAAAAAUGCGUGGAGGACCGAACCGGUGAGCGUUGAAAAGCUUUCGGAUGAAUCGUGGGUAGCGGUGAAAUUCCAAUCGAACGCAGAGAUAGCUGGUUCUCCUCGAAAUAGCUUUAGGGCUAGCCUCAAGCAGUAAGCAUAGGCGGUAGAGCACUGAUCGGGAUAGGGUCCGUAAAGGAUACCGAACCCUGUCAAACUACGAAUGGUUAUGCUGCAGAGCUUGGGAGUCAGACUACGAGAGAUAAGUCCCGUUGUCAAAAGGGAAACAGCCCAGACCGUCAGCUAAGGUCCCCAAUGCCAUACUAAGUGGAAAAGGAUGUGGGGUCUCAUAAACAACCAGGAUGUUGGCUCAGAAGCAGCCACCAUUUAAAGAGUGCGUAAUAGCUCACUGGUCGAGAGGCCCUGCGCCGAAGAUUCCCGGGGCUAAAGUAUGGAACCGAAGCUACGGAUGCGGUACUUGUACCGCGUGGUAGAGGAGCGUUCCCAUUGGGUUGAAGUCGUCCUGGAAGGGACGGUGGACUGGUGGGAAGUGAGAAUGUUGGCAUGAGUAGCGAAAAGAUAGGUGAGAAUCCUAUCCACCGAAAGCAUAAGGAUUCCUGAGCAACGAUCGUCGUCUCAGGGUAAGUCGGGACCUAAUCCGAGGCAUGGAGCGUAGGAGAUGGACAACUGGUUGAUAUUCCAGUACCGGCAGCAAUCGUUUGAACGAUGGAGUGACGCAGGAAGGCAGGUCCGCGCGAGAAUGGUAGAUCGCGUGCAAGCGUGUAGGCUGGUGCACAGGCAAAUCCGUGUACUGAGGCUGAGGCGUGAUGUGGAGGGAACUUGUUCCCGAAGGGAUUGAGCCUACGCUGCCGAGAAAAGCUUCUAGUGAGAAAGCUGCCGCCCGUACCGUAAACCGACACAGGUAUGCGGGGAGAGAAUCCUAAGGUGCGCGGGAGAACCCUCGUUAAGGAACUCGGCAAAAUGUACCCGUAACUUCGGGAUAAGGGUAGCCGCUGUUGUGAAGUCUGCACAGACGGAGCAUGAGGCGGUCGCAGAGAAGAGGCCCAAGCGACUGUUUACCACAAACACAGGUGCCUGCUAAAGAGAAAUCUGACGUAUAGGUGCUGACACCUGCCCAGUGCCGGAAGGUUAAGGAAGGAUGUCCGGAGCAAUCCAAAGCAUUCGACCGAAGCCCCGGUGAACGGCGGCCGUAACUAUAACGGUCCUAAGGUAGCGAAAUUCCUUGUCGGGUAAG